rnacentral:rRNA from 1 species
AUGCAGAUCCAAAAAAUUGGGUGUUUGGGAAGCUUCCGUAAUGCUAGUACUUCACAGAGGCAGGGUUUUGGUAUUGAUGUUGCUGUUUCAGCGUUGGAGCGCGCUGAGCGUAUUUUAAGUAAUGUGUGUUCUGAGCUGCAAAAGGUCCCAGCGACAGUUGAGCGUCUGAGCUGUAUCAAUGGUAUCCUUCCUGAAGGUCAUCAAUUUAAUGCUGAGGAAGGUAUUGACUACAUUGAGAUGGAGAGAAUUUUAAUUGGUGAUAUGUGUGACGGUGCCGCUGAUCUAGUUCAGAGCUCAGUUCGUCUGUUGAACAACAGGAAGCGUUUCAGAACUAUGCAAGACUCUCGCUGCAAGCCAUAUGAAGAAAGUGCAAAUGUUGUUAUCAAGUAG